GGAUCUGUGGGGGUGGUUCUUGGCUUGCGGACACACAGCUCUGGGCAGCGGGACUCCACCGGGGCUGGACGGAAGGAACACGACGCGACAUGACACGGCCACACACUCGCUCCCUGCUGCUCUGCUGACCUUAGGCUGGCAUCAGGGAGACUCGUCUCAGCCAUGGGCUGCACCAUGCAUCUUGAUGGUUCCACCGCUGCAAGGUGGCAAAGCUGUCAUCUGGGAAUACAAAACUGCCCAGCAGGAGGGAGCCAUCCUCAGUUAUGCUUUCAAUGGAGCCAGCACCACCUCCCACCCUUACGAGAACCGUGUGAGGUUCAUCAGAACAAACUUCACGCUGCAGAUGGUGCUACAGUGGGGGGAUGACCAGCUGUACUGCUUCAGUCCAAGCUGGAGGCCAUGGGCUGGUUCCAGCUGCUCGUUGUGGACCCACUUUCCAAGCCAGAAAUUGUGGGCAACUCAUCAGUGAAGGCAGGAGACAACACCAGACUGGUUUGCAGUGUCCUGGAAGGGAAGGCAGACACUGAUGGAAGAAAAACAGUGUUGUUGCUGGGGAGCGACCACAUCCAGCUUGAGAACACCAUCCUGUGCAUCCUGAGAGACUCAAUGAAUGACAGUGGCUACUACACUUGCAUGGUCCACAGUGAAGUCAGCCAUAAUGAAACCUCCUUCCUGCUCCGUGUCCAGUGUGAGGGUGAAUUUCUUCCUGGUGCCCAGGAAAAGAAACGGGGGAAAUAGCUCCAAACCACCAAGUCUUGGUGGCAGAUUUUUGCUUGGCGAGAGUGUUGGGGGGUUAAAUUCAGUCUGGGUGCAGACACUGUGGAUUCUCUUCUCCGUAGAUGCAGUGAAUGUGGUGCUGCCCAUGAUGCUGGCGUGCAUUGUUGUGGGCUUGCUGGCAGGUGAGUGCUGGUGUUUUGGCUGCUGGAGUGGGUGCUGCAUGCGAGGAGGGAUGUGGGAUGAGGCUCUGUGCUGGCUGAGGUGGCAUCCUCAUACUGGGACCAGGAAGCCUGUCACUGCUGUCACUGCAAGCAGGGCAUCCCCUAUCCAAGGAGGUUGUGGUAUUCUCUGCUCCCUUCCCUUGCAUCCCCGCUCUCAGGGAAGCUUGUCAGGAAAACACCUGAUUAUACUUCCCUUUCCUUACCUGGGUCAGUCCCCCAAGCAUCCACUUUCCCCCUGAGUGCUGGGUGAUGUCACAUCACCCUGUAGGGUGAGAGCACCGAGCCCCACUGUGGUCGAUGUUGGUUUCCUGCCCACAGAAAGGCAGCGUGCUUCCUCUUUACUUGUUUUGCUUUUCCUCCUUUUUCGGAGCUGGAGAGCCAAGUUUUCCAGCUAUCCCCAGUCCUUGGCAAAGUGAGGGUUUUAAUUCUCAGCUUGCCGACUUGGAGAGGAAAACAGAGGAAUAAAAGCCCAAGUUUGGGAUCUGUCCCUUCAAAACAGCAGUAGGUGUUCUCCCGGGUGACUUAGGCAUGUGUUUUGCUACUGCACAAAGUUGCCAGGUUCUUCCUGGGAAUAUCCUCCAGACAUUGGAUAGGUGCUGGGAUCUCCCUUCUGUGCUCCUGCGCCUGUCAUCCCUGUGAUGCUCCCGCCCUACCUGCUCACCCAGAGUGGGGAUGGGCAGAAUGGAUUUCUUCAGAACCCAAUGCUUGCCCUGCACUGGGGCACCUGGCUCCAGGUUUCCCAGCUGAACUUUGCCACACUUUGUCCCAGCAGCAUCUCUGUGGUGUUUGAUAGUGACUGGUUUGUCCGCAGGUCUCUUUGUGUGGUGCAGGUCAAGGAACCGCUAGUGUCACAGUGGCUGUAGGUAAGAUGCCUCCAGCUCUCUUCGGGGCUCCAGCCAUAGCUACAAGUCCGAAUUUAUCCUGAGCUGGAGCUGAGUGAGCUGGACACAUGCUCACAGGAGCAAGAGGCAGCUGAGGGCUUGCUCUCCACUCUCCAGAGGCUCUAAGGAUUUGCUGUCUUCCCUGUUUAGCCCCCACUGGGAUAUGCUCUGGAAAUAUCCUUGAUUGCCCCACCCAAAGCCUCAUACCACAGAUUACUUCUGGCAAAGCAGGCACUGAGCAUCCUGGCAUGGGGGAAUAUCUGAGCUGCUCCCAGCCCAUCACCCCUUUGCUCCAUCACCUGCUCUCCAUCAGAGCUGGCUUUUUAAUUCUUGUUGUGCAUUUUCUGCAGCAGGAUGUGCUGGGGGAAGUGAUGGUCCUGUCCCAGUUCCUCCGAUUGCAAAAGUAGGCAUCAGCUUGUGCUGUGGUUUUUGGGAGAGUGGAACCUUGCCCGGAGAGGAAGCAUUCCACUUCCCAAAGAGGCCACCCUCUGGUUUCCACUAACACUUUCCAGAGUGACAGGAAGAAACCUGCCUCAGGGUGCAGCAGAUGCAGAGCAUGAGCAGACCCACUCUGAAAAAUGCUCCUUAUUGGGUGGGUUGGUUGGAGCUCUCCAGAGGGCUCUGGAGGUUUCUGGGAAGGGAGUCUUGAAACCUUCUCGGGUUGUGCUCACUCUCUGUGACCACAACAAACUCAGGCUGAGAGUAAGGACAAGGGUGUGAUCCCCUAAGGAUGGAAAACCACACUGUGGCUAGUUGAAAAUCAGAGCUCUCAGUUGGCUUGUGCAGCCAGGUUGUAGGUAACUUCUCCUGGAGAUAAGCUGGCCAAGGUAGCUCCUGGAAUUUGGAGUAGAGCACAAGCCCAGACCUUCCCAGCACUGCCAGUGCCAGCACUGCAGUGGUGGGAAGUCACCAAUGGGGUCUGAGUGAAUGGAUCUGCACCCAGGAGAUGCCUUGGAUCUCAGGAGAUGUUUCUUCUCCUUGCAGGUAGAGAGCUUGAAGAGCUGUCACCUUGCUGCCUUCCACUGAUGGUGGGUGCUGCCUGCAGGGUGCUGGGCAGUUGAUGCUGUCCAGCCUCUUCUGGGCUCGCCUCUGAAUUGCUCAAAGUCUAAACCUCAUGAAUAUUUUUGUGUAAAACCCCAGACUGGGCUGUUCCUGUGCUGUCCUGCUCCUCCCCUGGCACCGAGCACCUCCCUGGCAGGGCUGGAUGUGGCUGUUGUACUCCAGAGCUCCUGACCUCACCUGCCUUCCUCCAGAAGCCAUGUGGGCUGAGUGCUUGUGGGUGGGCUCAUGGUUCUGGAAGGCGGCACCAUCCCCACUGGACAGACACCUGGUCCUGGGAGUGCUGCCGUGUGCUGCAGUGCAGCUCUGCCUCCCCAGCACUUGGGCCCCUCACCUUGGCCUCCCGGGGUGCUGCUGUAUGCUGUGCCUGGGACUUGCUAGGGUGGAUCAGGGGCUGGGACCAUGGGCAUUCUACUCAGCUUGGUCUUUGGAAGAAGGGAGAAGGGCAGGAUUUUGAUGUCAUGUGACUGGGGAGUCCAGGAAAUGUGUGAAGGUGGCAGGGGAUGGAGCAACAAAGUUGUUUCAGAAAGCAAAACUCCCCAUUCAGGUGUGUUAGAACAGCAGCGUGCCUGGAGGGGCGAUGCAGGGAUGUUCGUCUGCCCAGCCCCUCUGUCUUCCAGCCUUGGAUUAUGGCCAUAUCUGGGACAUCCUCUCCUCUUCCAAGCAACUGCCACCCGUGUUAUACCUGUGCUGAUGUGAACUUGCCCUUCCUCCCUGCGCUCCUGUGGGUGACGGGAGAUGAUGGGAGGCUUGGUCUGGUUUGGUUUGGCCAGGGCAGCACUGGUCCAGCUCUCUCCUGUUGCCUCCCUUCACCAUGCUGCUUCUGCAAAGCCCUUCUUGGCUUUCCUUGUGAGGGUGUUAUUUGUUCUUAUAGUGGAAACUACUGGAGAAAACUGGACACUCCCCUAGGAGUGCUGAACAUUGCAAAGUGCCUGGACUGAUUGUGGGGCUGGGGUGUUCACACCAGUUCAUUCCAGUGGGUCAGCUCCAGGUCCAGCACCUCAACGAGCCAGCCCCCAGCCCCACUGCAGGCUGCAGGCAUUUUGAGUGCCUUGGUCUAGCUAUUGGAUGGUCACAUCUCUCCCAGGACAGCUGGUGGCCUGGCGACAUCUUGUUCCAAGGCACUGUCAGCAAACGGAGAGUGGCACAGGGUGACGUUUCUGUUGCUUGUAUCUACUUCUUCUGCAGCAAAAGGCUUUCCUGGCCUGAGGAGCAGUGGGUUUCCCUCUCUUUGGAGCAAACAGGCAUCCAGGCAUGUGUUUACAGAAAAAACUUCAUUGAACCUUUCAGAGUUGCCUAUGAAUCACUUUGGAGAUGUUUUGGUGUUUUAAGUUUUGCUGCUACUAAUAAAAGUGUGUGUGUUA